GACAUUUCUAUGUCCUGCCCUUCCUUCAGUUUCUGCUCAAAUGCCCCCUUAGAGAUGGCUGUCCUGUGGCCACCCCAAAGACCACAAACCACAGAGCAUGUCUCAGCAUAGGGGUUGGACAGACACCUCUCUGAACCAGGAUACCUGCUCCUCAGUCUUCCUGCCUGGAAUUGAUGCCUCCCGUUCUGCCACCGGGGAGGAAUCUGCCCUCUCUCCUCCUUCCCUCUGGAGACAAGUGGGAAAGGGUGGAGGAAGCAGCUCGAACGGAAACCUUCAUCUCCGCUUUAGUCUCCAGUGCCAUACCCAGUUGUCUUUCUUCAUUACACCUCCAUGUGCUAAUUGCCUGUCUCCUCCAGUGAAAGAUCUGCUCACAGCAGUGAGGACCUGUAGGGCUCCAUCACUGCUGUAUCACCAGCCCCCAGAAUAGUGCCUGGCACCCUGUGCACACUGAUAGAGAAUUUAAAAAUUAUCGUGCUUUCUCACCAUCUGUAUUCGUCCAUUUUCACGCUGCUGAUAAAGACAUACCCAAGACUGGGCAAUUUACAAAAGAAAGAGGUUUAUUGGACUUACGGUUUUACGUGGCUGGGGAGGCCUCACAAUCAUGGUGGAAGGCGAAAGGCACGUCUCAUAUGGCGGCAGACAAGGCAAGCUGCCCACAGCAUGGGGAAGAGCGGCCGGUGCUCGCGUGAGGACGUCUCCAGCUCAUCUGCUCCUGUAUCUGAGAGCUGAUGGCUGCUUUUGCAUCUGCUUACUGGAACAUUUUGCUUCCUUUAUAAUCAGCAACACAGAAUAUGGAAUUGGCAUCAUUCUUGGGCUACAUGGACUGAUUUCUAGUUCCUGCCAAAAAUAUGUUUGAAACAUCACUGAACAGACAUUGUCUAAAAGUCUUGCUAUCCAUUUUUAUUUUCCCAGUUUCAUGUUGCUUCAAGUUAAAAAUCAUGAGAAAGCAGCAAACUGAUUAUUUUAGCUCCCCAA
rnacentral:lncRNA from 1 species